CUAGACCCAAAUAACACAGAAACGACGCACAUCCGUUACUGUUCAACAUCUCCCUCAUUGAGCCCAACCUCAACUCGCCUGAAACUCAGGCGAGUUCACUCAAAUGGGUCUCCUCCUCUCCACGUCACUUUAUUUCAAUGGUUUUCUGUCAGAGGAGAAAGAAUAUUCUCUCCAAAAUUGUACGAUUUUUGUACGAUGGAAUAAUUUGCUGGAUGAAUGGGAGUUGUGGAUGGAUGUAAAUCGAUCCAUGCCUUCCAUUUGUCCCAAAAAUCGUUCAAAAACAUGAGGAUUUUCGGAUAUUUGGGCAGAAGCUUCAAGAUUUUUGGAGGGAUAUAUAAAAGUAGCCAACUCAUUAUGCCUGUAGCAGGGAAUCUCUUUUUGGCUUGCGUUUGGGUUUAAUUGCGUAACUUGCACCUAGGCUCAAUUCUGAGCCAAAUGAGUGAUGAUGCCCAUCUCUUUUAUCAAAGAAGAGGAGAAGCGUGCAAUAAUACACUGGGCCUGGCGUUGGCCCAGUUCCUGCCUCGAUUAGCUUAGGCUUGUUGCAUUGCUUUACACAUUAAUCAAUGGCUUGAGCCCAUUUUUGGAUGUAAAUAUCUUUAGGUUUAAUUAAGUGUAAUCCUUUUAAAAUGGUUGGAGGCGUGCCAUCUUUCAUUAAAAAUUACCCAUGACCCUCUUAUUAGUAAUACAAACUUUGAAGUAAUUAAUUC